CACGAGUUUGAUCAUGGCUCAGAACGAACGCUGGCGGCAUGCCUAACACAUGCAAGUCGAACGAGACCUUCGGGUCUAGUGGCGCACGGGUGCGUAACGCGUGGGAAUCUGCCCUUUGCUUCGGAAUAACAGUUAGAAAUGACUGCUAAUACCGGAUGAUGUCUUCGGACCAAAGAUUUAUCGGCAAAGGAUGAGCCCGCGUAGGAUUAGGUAGUUGGUGGGGUAAAGGCCUACCAAGCCGACGAUCCUUAGCUGGUCUGAGAGGAUGAUCAGCCACACUGGGACUGAGACACGGCCCAGACUCCUACGGGAGGCAGCAGUGGGGAAUAUUGGACAAUGGGCGCAAGCCUGAUCCAGCAAUGCCGCGUGAGUGAUGAAGGCCUUCGGGUCGUAAAGCUCUUUUACCAGGGAUGAUAAUGACAGUACCUGGAGAAUAAGCUCCGGCUAACUCCGUG
rnacentral:rRNA from 1 species